rnacentral:rRNA from 1 species
CUUGGUCAUUUAGAGGAAGUAAAAGUCGUAACAAGAUUUCCGUAGAACAAGUCCUUUCCGUGGGUAACACUUGCUGAAGCCUUUAGCAGCCUGAAAGGGUGCCCCUUGACGACUAUAAACAAACAGAGGGUCUGAAAUGCUAGUCCUCUUUCCCUGGGAAAGAGGGCAACACUGUCAAAUUGCGGGAAACCCCUAAAGACCUUGACACCAAGCGCCUACUGGAAACAGAUGCGUGGCCGAGUUAAUAGCCCUGGGUAUGGUAAAAGUUCAAGGUAUGAACCCAAGUUUUGGGUGAAAUGGGCAAUCUGCAGCCAAAUCCUAAGGCUUUCCUAGCUAUGGAUGCUGUUCACAGGCCAAAUGGCAGUGGGUGAAAGGGAAAAAAAACCUUUUGCUUAAGAUAUGGUCGGUCCCUUCGUGAAAGCUUGGGGGUAAGUUUACUCAACAAAACCGUUCCGUAGGUGAACCUGCGGAAGGAUCAUUA